UUUUCUUGGAUAAGAUAUGUUUAACAUAAUGAACAGCCGACAAUUAACUUGGUAACAAUAACAACGAGGGGAUGUCCUGGUGCCACUUGUUGCCCCCUGAGGGGUGGGGGGUUAAAU